GUUUGUACAAUUGCAAGGAGAUAAAUCGAAGUUCAUGAUCUUCCUCCAGGGUAAAUCAAAUUAUUUUUCCAACCACAGAAAAAAUGACAGUUAAUAUAAUGCCACAAUAUGCGAUAAACUAUAUAAUCCAGAUUCUCUCUCACUUUGUGGCAAUGUGAAUUAUGGGCCAUUCAAUGUUUUCUAAGCUAGAAAAAAGAUUUGUAUAGUCUCAAUUAAGAAUCCAGGGGAGUUUCAGACAACACUUCCCACUUCGGUGUUAUGCUCACAUAAAAUUCUUCUCCUCAGGGCUUCUCUCAGCGGCUUCCUUCCUUAAUGUCUGAAGCCUUUCUUUAAGUUUCUUACUCUGUUCAAGAUUUGCCUUCCGCUUCACAGCUUUUUCCUCCCGAAAACAUCGAUCAAGCUUUAUUUUGAGGUCUGUACAUUUGCCAAAGAAUUUUCCAAUGGGAUGGUCCAAAUGACACUGUUGGAAUUGUUCAAUAAUUUCAGCACACAUUGGAUGCAUAUGCAAUGCCAAAGGAGGAUGCAUUUUCCUUGAAGCAAAUCACCAACUACAACACAGGUUAACUCGUAUCCAAGGUGUGUAGCUCUCCUGCUUGCAGUUGAGGAGCUGAAACGGGCCGGUUGGAGG
rnacentral:misc_RNA from 1 species